UGGGGAAUCUUCCGCAAUGGACGAAAGUCUGACGGAGCAACGCCGCGUGAGUGAAGACGGCCUUCGGGUUGUAAAGCUCUGUGAUCCGGGACGAAAGAGCCUGAGGUGAAUAGCCUAAGGAAGUGACGGUACCGGAAAAGCAAGCCACGGCUAACUACGUGCCAGCAGCCGCGGUAAUACGUAGGUGGCAAGCGUUGUCCGGAAUUAUUGGGCGUAAAGCGCGCGCAGGCGGCUUCCUAAGUCCAUCUUAAAAGUGCGGGGCUUAACCCCGUGAUGGGAUGGAAACUGGGAAGCUGGAGUAUCGGAGAGGAAAGUGGAAUUCCUAGUGUAGCGGUGAAAUGCGUAGAGAUUAGGAAGAACACCGGUGGCGAAGGCGACUUCCUGGACGAAAACUGACGCUGAGGCGCGAAAGCGUGGGGAGCAAACAGG
rnacentral:rRNA from 1 species